GACGAACGCUGGCGGCGUGCUUAACACAUGCAAGUCGAACGAGACGAUUGAAAGCUUGCUUUUGAAAGUCGAGUGGCAAACGGGUGAGUAACGCGUAGACAACCUGCCUUUGAGAUGGGGACAACAGUUCGAAAGGACUGCUAAUACCGAAUGUUGUAUAUUUUCCACAUGGAAGAUAUAUUAAAGAUGGCCUCUAUUUAUAAGCUAUCGCUCAAAGAUGGGUCUGCGUCUGAUUAGCUGGUUGGUGGGGUAACGGCCUACCAAGGCGACGAUCAGUAGCCGGUCUGAGAGGAUGAACGGCCACAUUGGGACUGAGGCACGGCCCAGACUCCUACGGGAGGCAGCAGUGGGGAAUCUUCCACAAUGGACGAAAGUCUGAUGGAGCAACGCCGCGUGAGUGAAGAAGGGUUUCGGCUCGUAAAGCUCUGUUGUCGGGGACGAAUGUGCAGUAUUUGAAUAAAGUACUGCAAUGACGGUACCUGACGAGGAAGCCACGGCUAACUACGUGCCAGCCGCCGCCGUAA
rnacentral:rRNA from 1 species